CUGUCUCUUUUCAUUUGUCAUCUACUUUCUCUUCUCCUUCUUCAAAAUCACUCUCAUUUUUUCCUUCUCUUGUUCCCUUGUGUUAUUCUUCUGGUAUGUUGUUCUCUUUUUUUCUUUUUUUCUCUAUCUUCCAUUUCAUCCCAUUCAUUAUGUUUGUACUUCUAGCAGGGUUUCAGCCUGCACUAAAAAAGUAUUCAGAAAAGAUCCAAACUUCAUCUGCUUCGAAUAUCAACAUAACACGUUUAACACUGUUUCUCCUUUAAUUCAGAGGAAUAUGGGAAUAUGAGAGAGCUUAGUAGAACAGUAUCACUUUUUUUCAUCUCAAAUUAACCACUCUCUCUUCAUCUUAUUGCCUUCUAUGAUCUUUAUUUCCUCAUUGUCUAUGUAACCUUUGUUUUCUCCUCGCCCACCAUCUUCUUCGAGUUGUUUUCUUCGUCUUUCUUGCACUCGCAUUUCAUAGUUAAACCUAUUAGAAAUGAGGUGCAAGGAAUAUUAUAUAUGUAACUGGUAACAAUGAUUUUCACACAAUUUUAAAGAGAAUUCAAACCUCAUAAAUAUUCUCCUCUUCCUCCUUUUUAUUCUUUUUCUCUUGAACUACUAGCUGAAUAAGUUGUACAGCAAUUUACAAGCUAGUUUGUACAAUGAAUUGUUCAUUUCUUCAUGUCCUCUUGUUCCUUCUGUCACUGCCAGCACAUCACAUUUACCACUCGUUCAUUUUAAACUUACAGGGAAUGUAGAAAUUACACAAAGAACCCACAAGUGUUACAGCUUUGUAAAUAUUCAUUUAACCUCUCACUUGUUCUUGCUGUUCAUCAUUGUCACAUUCAGUGUAGUCUUCUUCUUCUUCUUCUUCUUCUUCUCCUCCUCCUCCUCUUCCACCGAAUACUGUUUUUGUUCUUUGAAAUUAUAACACUGGCACAAAUAGGCACAGCAAAUGAGUGUUGCUCAUAGAAACUCGCUUAUUCUGUCACUGUUUCUAUCCCAAAUUGAGCUAUUACAUUCAUAUUCAUCAUCUUCAUCUGUGUGUUCAUUCUUUUCCUCUCUUUUCUGCUCCCUAUAUCUCUUUGCACUACUAACACAGUUUCUACACAAUUCAAACUGUAAUCACAAACACUUUAAAUGUCUCAUGGAAUAUUAAUGCCUUCCUGUCUUCAAGGUGUGGGUGGUUUUCAUGUUUCUGUUUCACUCACCUCCUGACAUGAUAAAAUCAGAAUGAUUUACUUCAGACCCAAGUUUUACCACAAUUAGAAGUUUGUGAAAGAAUUAUCAUUGUAAAUGAAGAAAUUAUGAAACUUUCACGUGAGAGCCUUUUAUAAUGUGUUAAAAGACCUUAUUUUGGAGCCAUUUAUCACCUUUUCAUCAGCUGACUUGGCAUGGAUCCAGUGAAAUCUAUAGUAACAUUUUACACGAUAAAGUGGGAUUCCAGCAAUACCACGGUGUCUCUCAUAGAAAGUUUGUAUCCUUGGAAAAGGUGCUGGAGAAGAGAUGAGUUAUGAAGAUGAUGAAACAUCUGCAUAAGAGACAGAUCCAUGUGUUGAAUAAAGGGAUGAGUGCCCCAUGGGAGGAAUACGAACACACGGGCACGCAUUAACUGAAUUGCUGCAGUGUACUGUUUGUAUGUUGGAAUAUAGGUACAAUAUAUACCAUAGAAAAGAAUCCAAAAGGACAACCUGUGGAAACAUUGUUUGUGUUAAUGGCUGCCUUAAAUGAAGGGUUUCCAGCUGCAUUUACAGUAAGGUUUCAUACCUCAAGCCACAUGAUCAGUUAUACAAAAUUUAAUGAAUUGCUUUCAGAAAACAAUCAACUCCUUUAACCUCAGGUCUUGGGAAUAAAUCACAAGGGUCACAACUGCACCUCAGGAUGUUGGGAUGUCAUGGAAGAUCUGUAACUGUUUUUAGUGUGAAAUGCGUAUUUCUCAGAUAACGAAGGAAGUGUAAAGGUCGAAGACACUAAACAUGAACUGUUCUUAUUAAAAGAGAAAAGCUGAAUUACUUAAAAUUGUCAGGAUGGUGUGAUAUAUCUGCAUGAAGUUUUGGUUAGAGGACACAGAUUCCAAAUUCAGACCAAUGUGGAGUACAUUUACCAGUCAGCACAAGGAAAGUUAUUUUGUGGAUACAUUGACAUGGAAGGUUUAUUGAAUUACCAGAGUGAAUGGACUCAGCGCCUGGGCAUAUUUUCUUGAAGUCAUAUAUAUAUAUAUAUAUACACACACGCACACGAGAAGCUUCGUGUAAUUUACAAUGCCAAGAAAAAGACAUGUGCCAUGUCAAAAUGAAACUGGAACUGAGGCAAAUCUAGCUAAUGUAUCAGCAUAUGUCAACCAAGAAGAAUAAUAAUGUGAUGACUGUCACAACGCCAUUGUCAGAAAGUCAAAACUGGAUCUCAACCCCAGGAUGGAAACAGCAGAAAUUGUGAACUUAACAGGAGAUAAACUUGUACAAACCAGAACAAACAUACUCGUAUUUAUAGCUGAGAUGGAAGGUUCAAGGGAACCAAGAAAACCGUUGUCCAACUCAUAGUUGUAAUUUGGAUGAGACACAUACCCUGUAAAUCGCCACCUUUCUCACAGGAGUGAGACAUUAGAAAACAAACAACUUGAGGGAUUAAUUGUACCAGACAGAUAUGACUUCCUUUGGGAACAGAGAGGUGAAGAAAAUUAUAUGGCGAGAAUCAUUUCAAUUUUACUUUUCAGUCAAUAUUCUUUUUAUGAGAAAACAUCGAUGAUGUAUUGUUAAAGUUAAAGAAGAAAAAA